CUUGUGCAAACCAUUCACUCAAUCUUGUUAUUGUUGAUGGUGCACUGCCGUCCAUCAGUGCAACUUCUUUUUUUGGUGUUCUUUCAAGGUUAUAUACACUCUUUUCAUCGUCUCCUCCUCGAUUGGAAAUUUUAAAAUCAUGCACGGCAAUUUCUGUCAAACCACAAUCAGAUACCAGAUGGGAAAGUAGAAUAAACUGUGUUAAACCACUUCGCUAUUAUUUAAAAGAAAUCUUAGAGGCACUUGAAAGAUUGAAAGAACAUGCCUUAGAAAAGAGAGAUAGGGCAACAGCCACAGAAGUACGAUUGCUGACAGAAUAUAUUAGAACAUGGCCUUUCUUAUUAUCAAUCAUUAUUUGGUAUGACGUUUUAUUUCAAAUCAACAAAUCAAGUAAGCUGUUUCAGUCUCCUGCAGUAUCUCUCAACAUCUUAGCUUGUGAAAUAAAGGCAACAAAUUCAUUUCUUUAUGAGUAUCGUGAAAAUGGAUUUUCUGACGCAUGUAUUAAGGCGUCAGAAAUCGCAGAAUUAUUGGGCAUUGACAAUAGAGCGUUCACGAAAAAAAAAAUCAAUUUAUUCAUACGAGUGCGUUGAUCACACUCGGCAACCUGAAUAUCAGUAUAAAGCAGAUUUCUUUUUGCCACUAAUUGAUAUGUCAAUUGCAUUAGUAAAAGAGCGUUUUGAACAGAUCAGCAUUGUCACAAAGCUUUUUGACUUUCUUUACUGAUCCGAGAGUCUUAUCAAAGCUUGCAAUGAAAAUUCUCUGUCUGUAUAUUGCAAAAGUUUACAAAUAAAGCUUAAUGAUGUAGAUUCUGAGGAUUUAGAAAUGGAGUUAAAACGAUUUGCCAUUGUUAUAAAGGAGGAAAAAAAUGCUUUUCUAAAAUCUGGACAUGAUUUCCUAACUACAUCUACAAAGAAGAGUUGCAAGAAACUUAUCCUAAUCUAGUUAUUGCGUUACGAAUCAUUCUUACUUUACUAGUCACUGUUGCAAGUGCAGAACGUAGCUUCAGCAAGUUAAAACUAAUUAAAACAUUUCAUAGGUCAACAAUGGUCGAUGAACGUUUGUCUUCCUUAGCAAUGCUGUCGAUUGAAAACGAGGUUGCAAGAAAAUUAAAUAAUGAAGGCAUAAUAAAUGAGUUUGCAAGCAUGAAAACACAUCGCAAACCCUUUUUUUGAUAAUUUGCGACUUGUAUUAUCUGGAUAAUACAUUUACAUUAGUUAAAGAAACUCUAGACUAAUAAACUCUGUAUCAAUUUAACAAUUAUAAAAAAAUAUCUAAUUGAAUUAAAGCGUUAA